GCCGAGGUGGCGAAACUGGCAGACGCGCCAGCCUUAGGAGCUGGUGGGGCAACCCGUGGGAGUUCAAAUCUCCCCCUCGGCA
rfam:Candidatus Giovannonibacteria bacterium RIFCSPLOWO2_12_FTLL_44_15 rifcsplowo2_12_scaffold_49623, whole genome shotgun sequence.